GAAUUGACAGCAAGAUUAGAAGCUUGAGAGAAAGCUGCCUGCAAUCACUUGUCUCUUUGGGCUAGUCAGCCAGCAUGAAUCUGUGGGCAGUUCCACUAAACCCUUCCCCCAGAAUGCAAAAGAUCCAUUGAUCCAGGAUGCUGGCCACCUGAAAACAUUUUGCAUCUAUAAAGGAAGAAAUCACAAGGCAUGUCUGUGUUUGAGCCUCUGGAGGACCCCAACAAACAAAAGGCCUUCUGAUAGCACUGAUGAAAAUAAAAGACACUGCCUACAAUGAGGAAAGAACUAUCUAUACAGAGAAUGAAACAGUCUUGGGAAAUGCAUGACAUCAGGACAGAUGAGUACAACCUGCCAGAGGCAACUCUGACAACAACAACAAUUAAGAAUUAAA